rnacentral:rRNA from 1 species
UGGGGAAUCUUGCACAAUGGACGAAAGUCUGAUGCAGCAACGCCGCGUGGGGGAUGAAGCUUCUCGGAGUGUAAACCCCUUUCGACCCGGAAGAAUGCCCGCAAGGGUUUGACGGUACGGGUAUAAGAAGCCCCGGCUAACUACGUGCCAGCAGCCGCGGUAAUACGUAGGGGGCCAGCGUUGCUCGGAAUUACUGGGCGUAAAGGGUCCGUAGGCGGUGUGGCAAGUCGGGAGUGAAAUCUCUGGGCUUAACCCAGAGGCUGCUUCCGAAACUGCCGUGCUAGAGGAUGAGAGAGGCGAGUGGAAUUACGGGUGUAGCGGUGAAAUGCGUAGAUAUCCGUAGGAACAUCCGAGGCGAAGGCGGCUCGCUGGAUCAUUUCUGACGCUGAGGGACGAAAGCUAGGGGAGCAAACAGGAUUAGAUACCCUGGUAGUCCUAGCCCUAAACCAUCAGGACUUGGGGUUUGCCCUGUACGGGGCAAGCCCCGUAGCUAACGCGUUAAGUCCUGCGCCUGGGGAGUACGGUCGCAAGACUG